rnacentral:rRNA from 1 species
AUGGGCGAAAGCCUGAUCCAGCCAUGCCGCGUGUGUGAAGAAGGUCUUCGGAUUGUAAAGCACUUUAAGUUGGGAGGAAGGGCUGUAAAUUAAUACUCUGCUGUUUUGACGUUACCGACAGAAUAAGCACCGGCUAACUCUGUGCCAGCAGCCGCGGUAAUAACCAGAGGGUGCAAGCGUUAAUCGGAAUUACUGGGCGUAAAGCGCGCGUAGG